CCUACGGGAUGCAGCAGUGGGGAAUAUUGGACAAUGGGCGAAAGCCUGAUCCAGCCAUGCCGCGUGUGUGAAGAAGGCCUUCGGGUUGUAAAGCACUUUCAGUGGGGAAGAAAGCCUUGGGGCUAAUACCCUCGAGGAGGGACAUCACCCACAGAAGAAGCACCGGCUAACUCCGUGCCAGCAGCCGCGGUAAUACGGAGGGUGCGAGCGUUAAUCGGAAUUACUGGGCGUAAAGCGCGCGUAGGCGGUCUGAUAAGCCGGUUGUGAAAGCCCCGGGCUCAACCUGGGAACGGCAUCCGGAACUGUCAGGCUAGAGUGCAGGAGAGGAAGGUAGAAUUCCCGGUGUAGCGGUGAAAUGCGUAGAGAUCGGGAGGAAUACCAGUGGCGAAGGCGGCCUUCUGGACUGACACUGACGCUGAGGUGCGAAAGCGUGGGUAGCAAACAGGAUUAGAUACCCUGGUAGUC
rnacentral:rRNA from 1 species